rnacentral:rRNA from 1 species
GACGAACGCUGGCGGCGUGCUUAACACAUGCAGGUCGAACGGAAAGGCCCUGCUUUUGUGGGGUGCUCGAGUGGCGAACGGGUGAGUAACACGUGAGUAACCUGCCCUUGACUUUGGGAUAACUUCAGGAAACUGGGGCUAAUACCGGAUAGGAGCUCCUGCUGCAUGGUGGGGGUUGGAAAGUUUCGGCGGUUGGGGAUGGACUCGCGGCUUAUCAGCUUGUUGGUUGGGUAGUGGCUUACCAAGGCUUUGACGGGUAGCCGGCCUGAGAGGGUGACCGGCCACGUUGGGACUGAGAUGCGGCCCAGACUAGUACGGGAGGCAGCAGUGGGGAAUAGUGCACAAUGGGCGGAAGCCUGAUGCAGCAACGCCGCGUGCGGGAUGACGGCAUUCGGGUUGUAAACCGCUUUCGCCUGUGACGAAGCGUGAGUGACGGUAAUGGGUAAAGAAGCACCGGCUAACUACGUG